rnacentral:rRNA from 1 species
UGCAGUCGACGAACUCUUCGGAGUUAGUGGCGGACGGGUGAGUAACACGUGGGAACGUGCCUUUAGGUUCGGAAUAACUCAGGGAAACUUGUGCUAAUACCGAAUGUGCCCUUCGGGGGAAAGAUUUAUCGCCUUUAGAGCGGCCCGCGUCUGAUUAGCUAGUUGGUGAGGUAAUGGCUCACCAAGGCGACGAUCAGUAGCUGGUCUGAGAGGAUGAUCAGCCACAUUGGGACUGAGACACGGCCCAAACUCCUACGGGAGGCAGCAGUGGGGAAUCUUGCGCAAUGGGCGAAAGCCUGACGCAGCCAUGCCGCGUGAAUGAUGAAGGUCUUAGGAUUGUAAAAUUCUUUCACCGGGGACGAUAAUGACGGUACCCGGAGAAGAAGCCCCGGCUAACUUCGUGCCAGCAGCCGCGGUAAUACGAAGGGGGCUAGCGUUGCUCGGAAUUACUGGGCGUAAAGGGAGCGUAGGCGGACAUUUAAGUCAGGGGUGAAAUCCCGGGGCUCAACCUCGGAAUUGCCUUUGAUACUGGGUGUCUUGAGUAUGAGAGAGGUGUGUGGAACUCCGAGUGUAGAGGUGAAAUUCGUAGAUAUUCGGAAGAACACCAGUGGCGAAGGCGACACACUGGCUCAUUACUGACGCUGAGGCUCGAAAGCGUGGGGAGCAAACAGGAUUAGAUACCCUGGUAGUCCACGCCGUAACGAUGAUUGCUAGUUGUCGGGAUGCAUGCAUUUCGGUGACGCAGCUAAC